CCUACGGGAGGCAGCAGUGAGGAAUAUUGGUCAAUGGUCGGGAGACUGAACCAGCCAAGCCGCGUGAGGGAUGAAGGUCCUGAGUAUCGUAAACUUCUUUUGUCAGGGAACAAAGGCGGGGACGUGUCCCCGGAUGAGUGUACCUGAAGAAAAAGCAUCGGCUAACCCCGUGCCAGCAGCCGCGGUAAUAGGGGGGAUGCGAGCGUUAUCGGGAUUUAUUGGGUUAAAAGGGUGCGCAGGGGGUCUGUUAAGUCAGCGGUAAAAGCCCGGGGCCCAACUCGGACCUGCCGUUGAAACUGGCAGUCUGGAGUUUGAGAGAGGUAAGCGGAAUGCGCGGUGUAGCAGUGAAAUGCAGAGAUAUCGCGCAGAACUCCGAUUGCGAAGGCAGCAUGCCGGCACCACACUGACGCUGAGGCGCGAAAGCGUGGGUAUCGAACAGGAUUAGAUACCCGGGUAGUC
rnacentral:rRNA from 1 species